CCUACGGGAGGCAGCAGUGAGGAAUAUUGGUCAAUGGGCGGGAGCCUGAACCAGCCAAGUCGCGUGAGGGAAGACGGUCCUAUGGAUUGUAAACCUCUUUAGGCGGGGAGCAAUGCCGGGCACGUGUGCCCGGAGGGAGAGUACCCGCAGAAUAAGCAUCGGCUAACUCCGUGCCAGCAGCCGCGGUAAUACGGAGGAUGCGAGCGUUAUCCGGAUUUAUUGGGUUUAAAGGGUGCGUAGGCGGACUGUUAAGUCAGCGGUAAAAGCCCGGGGCUCAACCCCGGCGGGCCGCUGAAACUGGCUGU
rnacentral:rRNA from 1 species